UACGUAGGGUGCGAGCGUUGUCCGGAAUUAUUGGGCGUAAAGGGCUCGUAGGCGGUUUGUCGCGUCGGGAGUGAAAACUCAGGGCUUAACCCUGAGCCUGCUUCCGAUACGGGCAGACUAGAGGUAUGCAGGGGAGAAUGGAAUUCCUGGUGUAGCGGUGAAAUGCGCAGAUAUCAGGAGGAACACCGGUGGCGAAGGCGGUUCUCUGGGCAUUACCUGACGCUGAGGAGCGAAAGUGUGGGGAGCGAACGGG
rnacentral:rRNA from 1 species